CGGGACAUGAAGCUUUUCUACAGCACUGGGUACCGAAAUGUCCCCACGUGACUGCAUUCUGCUAAGGAGACACUGAGCCGUACCGGCACCUUGAGGUCUCCAGCACAUUGCAAUGGGAUUCAGGCACCUGGGGACUUUUAAAUACCUUUUAGUGCUGCAAAACAUGGUCACUGCCCCUGUCCCCGGUCGGUGUGAGACGGCAGGCUUUGCUUCUGUGCCGCUCCGUGCCAGGGCUGUUUGCCCCACGGGCUGCCGCAGUGCAGAGCUGCCCCGUGCCCCGGGUUGUGGUGGGGGAUGCACCCCGGGCACCGCGCCGGCAGGAGAAUGGAGACUUUAAAGAUCAUGUUCAUUAACCUAUUUCUGUUUUCUUGCUGCUGGAGUUAUUUUUAGGCCCCAUCUCUUUCCUGCAUGACCUGAGUUUUACCACUCGAGGCAAUUGGAUUGAUGAAAACCCUUCUGCAAGGUUGUUGAAACCCAAAAUUAAGUGGUGUGAGGAGAACUGUUGAAAAGCAGCAAUCUCUGAUUUUCAAGAUCUCCACUUUCCAGUAUGUGAUGGGGAGAAGGGCUGGGCCAGCGUGCCAUGACCCUGUGGGUGCGUGGGCUGUGCUGGCUCCUCACUGAAGCACAUCUGGAGAAAAAACUGGAGAAAAAAGGGCAACCUGAUGUAGAAAGAGGAGCUCAAGCGAGGAGCUGUUGGGGACUUGUUGGAAAAUCAGCAAUGAGAUGUACACACCAAGCAGCUCAAAACACUGGGGCAGGACCAGACGCCACGAAGGAUGUUCUUGCUGCCACGUGUGCCAGCAGCUUCAAGGGAAGGAUGGCGGAAAAAUGGUGACGGUUGAUAAGAGGGUGAUUCUUCAUGUGCUCAGACAACACUCGGACUAUGUUCUGAAGGAUAAACCUCCGUAACCCAUACCACACUUUUUCUCUUGUGCUUCAGGUGGCUGUGGCUCUUCUCACCAUUGCUCUGAACGUCUGACCAGCUCGAGCCCUGCACCACCGAAACCUCAGGGACAAUUUGCAGCAGCGUCUUCCAGAGGUUAAUGAUACGUUACGGGAAAGUGAUCCUCCUGCCAAAGACUGCUUUCGGUGACGCUCAGCUCUGCAGCAGUCCUGGAGGGACCAGAGCAACCCCAGAGCCAUGGCUCUGCACCCCGAGGUGGCUGGGUUCCCAGGACCUGACCUCCGCUGUCUCCUUGUUGCUCCCCAGUGUGUUCAGCUCCCCGGCAGGUCUGGGGGAGCUUCUGCUUCUGGCAUCUCCAGUUUAUUUGCAAGGAAGAAGGAGCAGUUAUAGGUCACCUGCAAGACCUAAGGUGAGGCAAGCACCAAUGUACCAGGGUUCUGGAGCUGCUGUGUAACAACACAACCUGUUCCUAAACACACCCUUGCCCUGCCCCAUGCCAUCAAACCAUACCACGUUCUCCUCUCCAGGCCACUAGCUAAUUAUUGCCCCUUGUUAAACACAUGGAAAUGUUAAACACGUGGAAGGAGCUUUGCCAUGAGCCUUUGGACAUUGAGGGGCGGGUAUUGGGUCUCCACGUGCUGUAGGCACUCAUCUCUGAUGAGGAGGUAUUGGUGAAGUGGGGGGGCCUCGCUCCUGCAGAUGCAGCCACCCUCCGCCCCUGCCAAAGGCAAUCUCCAGCUUAGACUCCAGGAUGAAGCUGCUCUGCUAUAUUUUUCUUUUUUUCCCCUUGUCAUUGGAGGCAUUUCUGCAUUUGGGGAGUGUCAUGGGCCUUCCGGCUUUGUCACUUCAAAGCCUGUCGCCCUUAAUGGCAUUUCUCUCCAGCCCGUUCCCGCCUGCCUCUCCCAUCACGGUGUGUCCCCCCCUCCCCACACCCGCCGCCUUAAUUCUUCAUGGACAAAAGCUGACUUUAGCACAAGUCUCCUUUGAUCAAAGGGAACCUUAUCCAGUCCCAGAGACAAGCACAUCCCUGGGAGAUGGCAGAAAUUAGGUCAGCUCCGUGGUGCUCGGUGUCUGGUGGACAGGGCUGCCCCCCACCUCCCCUGCCAGCACCGGGCUGCCAGCCACCCUCCUCCCGCCUUCGGGCAGCCCCCGGGCAAGGCUCUGCUUGGAGGCACCCCGGGACCCCAGCCCUCCUGGCAGGGUGAGCAGCCUGUUCUCGACCCCUCAGCCUCCCCUUGCUGCCUCCUGCAUCCUCCAGGGAUGGAGCCCAGCUGGCAGCUUUGCCCCUUCUGUCUAUCUCAGAGCGAACCGUCUUCAUUCAGGGUGAUGUGACCUCUGCAACGCUGUCAGGAUGGGGUUCGUCAGGCUGGCGGCAAAGAUCACGCUGGGCUGGAGGAGGCUUGUUAAAAACUGAACUAAUCCCCUUGCCACUCCUGCCAGCAGAGCCCAGCUAUGCCACUGUAACGCAGUCAUCUACGUGAUGGGACCAAACCUCACUGGGAAUGGGAUGCAAAAUGCACCGCUCCUGGGACAGGAGUCACCUUGCAUCUUUGAGGUGACUUUGCUUUUUUGGGUGCCCAGCAAGCCAGCGGGGAGCGCGGGAGGGAAAGGAGGGACCUGCGGCUCAGCUUGAUGGACAGGAUCGCACCACGGCCCCGCAGCAGCAUUCGGCUCAGCCCCCUGACCUUUCCUGCAGCUCAUUAACAACAAACGCUGAAACGAAGGAGGGCAGAGCCAUUAUAGAGCAAUUUAUAUGUAAAUGCCUAAAGUACCAAAUAAA